rnacentral:rRNA from 1 species
CCUACGGGUGGCUGCAGUGAGGAAUAUUGGUCAAUGGGCGCAAGCCUGAACCAGCCAAGUCGCGUGAGGGAUGAAGGUUCUAUGGAUCGUAAACUUCUUUUAUAAGGGAAUAAAGUGUGGGACGUGUCCUAUUUUGUAUGUACCUUAUGAAUAAGGAUCGGCUAACUCCGUGCCAGCAGCCGCGGUAAUACGGAGGAUCCGAGCGUUAUCCGGAUUUAUUGGGUUUAAAGGGAGCGUAGGCGGCCUUUUAAGUCAGCUGUGAAAGUCUGAGGCUCAACCGUAGAAUUGCAGUUGAAACUGGGGGUCUUGAGUAUGGUUGAGGCAGGCGGAAUGCGUGGUGUAGCGGUGAAAUGCGUAGAUAUCACGCAGAACCCCGAUUGCGAAGGCAGCCUGCUAAGCCAUGACUGACGCUGAUGCACGAAAGCGUGGGGAUCAAACAGGAUUAGAUACCCUUGUAGUC